UACGUAGGGCGCAAGCGUUGUCCGGAAUUAUUGGGCGUAAAGAGCUCGUAGGCGGUUUGUCGCGUCUGCUGUGAAAACCUAAGGCUCAACCUUGGGCUUGCAGUGGGUACGGGCAGACUAGAGUACAGAAGGGGCAACUGGAAUUCUCGGUGUAGCGGUGAAAUGCGUAGAUAUCGAGAGGAACACCUGCGGCGAAGGCGGGUUGCUGGGCUGAUACUGACGCUGAGGCGCGAAAGCCAGGGGAGCGAACGGG
rnacentral:rRNA from 1 species